UACGGAGGAUGCAAGUGUUAUCCGGAAUCACUGGGCGUAAAGCGUCUGUAGGUGGUUUAAAAAGUCUACUGUUAAAAAUUGAAGCUUAACUUCAAAGAUGCCGUAGAAACUUUUAAACUCGAGGAUGGUAGGGGUAGAGGGAAUUUCCAGUGGAGCGGUGAAAUGCGUAGAUCUUGGAAAGACCACCAAUGGCGAAGGCACUCUACUGGGCCAUUACUGACACUAAGAGACGAAAGCUAGGGGAGCAAAUGGG
rnacentral:rRNA from 1 species